rnacentral:rRNA from 1 species
UCUUGGUCAUUUAGAGGAAGUAAAAGUCGUAACAAGGUUUCCGUAGGUGAACCUGCGGAAGGAUCAUUAAAGAAAUUUAAUAAUUUUGAAAAUGGAUUUUUUUGCUUUGGCAAGAGCAUGAGAGCUUUUACUGGGCAAGAAGACAAGAGAUGGAGAGUCCAGCCGGGCCUGCGCUUAAGUGCGCGGUCUUGCUAGGCUUGUAAGUUUCUUUCUUGCUAUUCCAAACGGUGAGAGAUUUCUGUGCUUUUGUUAUAGGACAAUUAAAACCGUUUCAAUACAACACACUGUGGAGUUUUCAUAUCUUUGCAACUUUUUCUUUGGGCAUUCGAGCAAUCGGGGCCCAGAGGUAACAAACACAAACAAUUUUAUCUAUUCAUUAAAUUUUUGUCAAAAGCAAGAAUUUUCGUAACUGGAAAUUUUAAAAUAUUAAAAACUUUCAACAACGGAUCUCUUGGUUCUCGCAUCGAUGAAGAACGCAGCGAAAUGCGAUACGUAAUGUGAAUUGCAGAAUUCCGUGAAUCAUCGAAUCUUUGAACGCACAUUGCGCCCCUUGGUAUUCCAGGGGGCAUGCCUGUUUGAGCGUCAUUUCCUUCUCAAACAUUCUGUUUGGUAGUGAGUGAUACUCUUUGGAGUUAACUUGAAAUUGCUGGCCUUUUCAUUGGAUGUUUUUUUCCAAAGAGAGGUUUCUCUGCGUGCUUGAGGUAUAAUGCAAGUACGGUCGUUUUAGGUUUUACCAACUGCGGCUAAUCUUUUUUUAUACUGAGCGUAUUGGAACGUUAUCGAUAAGAAGAGAGCGUCUAGGCGAACAAUAUUCUUAAAGUUUGACCUCAAAUCAGGUAGGAGUACCCGCUGAACUUAAGCAUAUCAAUAAGCGGAG